GGUAAAAUAGGAACAUUAAUCAACUAUAUUUCAGAAACAAGUGGAUUUUAAGCAAAUAAAUUCAUGGUGGUUUUCUUUUCUGGUAAUUGAGUCUUUUUUCUAAUCAUUAUGCAUGUAACUCUGAUCAAUCAGAUCGUUGAAUUAGAAGAACAUCGUUCUUACAUGAGCAGUGAAGUACCGAAAUCCGUGUUUUCACAUGGUACCUGAACCAACAUGGCACACAUUUUCAGUUAAAUUCUCACUCUUGGUUAAAACUGAGUUACACAUGUCUCAUUUUGCUGUGUAUUAACCAGCAACCGUGAGGCUGAUGAGUUAAGAUUUAUCAUGAGAUCGUUCCCGUGACAUCCUGUUGUUUUGCUGUGGCGUAGAGCUGCUGGCUCAGUGUGCUGUGUUGCCAACCAGCAGCUGGGAGGUGAAGUGGAAAACAAAAGUAAGACGCUGAACUACAUGCUUGCUUAUAAAUAAUUAGAUAUCAUCUUGGUAGCAUUUUAAAUCAAUUAAAUAUCAAUGAAGUAUCGCCAAAUGAAGUACAGCAAUAUUUCACUGAAUCAAUAUUUUCUUACACCACUUCCGUAGAUAUUACGACGGAGUAUUAGGGUCACCUAAAAAAAAAAAAAAAAAAGGAAUAUUACGACUUUUAAUCUCGUAGAUAUACGACUUUAAAUCUCGUAAAUUUACGAGUUUAGUAAUAUUACAAGUUUUUUCUCGUAGAUAUACGACUUUAAAUCUCGUAAAUGUAUGAGUUUUAAUCUCGUAGAUUUACGACUUUUUUCUCAUAACUUUAUUAAAAUCGAGGGGAGUCUACAUUCCAGCGAAUUUAUGCCGUGAACUGAAGCAGACCAACCAAACUGUGAAAAGCGUCUUGGAUUUCAUCAGGAUCUCUGCAGAUCCCGUUUAUGAAGCGGUCCAUAUCCUCCAGCUGUCCACUUCAGUCAUUUCUUCCUCUACGACAGACCAGAUCUCCUCCAUCUGUGAUGCUUCCGUCUGAAGAGGACUAGUUUUUGGAAUUUUCAAUGUUCUUGUGCUAACGUGACAGACUUGUCAUUUCACAAUGUUGUUUUGUGUCGAGACGGGACGUUUCAUUUGGGGAAGGAGGCGUCCGGAGCUCUGUUUACAUUCUCUUUUGGUUUCUGAGCAUGACAGAGACAUGACGUAAGGUAAUGAAAGGAAAUGAAAGACGUAAUAAAGUGACGGUCCUGAUGAACGUGUAUCUCUGAGCUCUUUAUUUUACAAAUGAAACUCCGCACUGUUGUGUAUUGAAGUUAGCUGUUUACGAACUGCAUUACCCAGAAGGCCAAGCGACUGGUCACAUGUUCGGUGCACGGCAAAUGGUAAGCAGCAGAUGAGCGCUAGUCAUGCACAGUGUAGCAGUACGAAGAGACUGUUAAUAAAAAGUCUGUUUAACACAAUAAUAGCGCCUGUUUUGCUUACUUGAAGAUACGCAAGACAACACACGCACUACCGAACCCGGAAAUAAUUUGAUUUUGAAUCGCCAAAAGGUUCAGAAUUUCUUUGUUUUUAACACCGAUCUGGACAUUAUCUACACCAGAUUCUCCACGUCUUUCAUCUUCAAGCACGGCUCUGAUAAACAGACAACUUUGGUUCUUUUCUCAUUAAAUUACGACUUUUAAUCUCGAAGAUUUAUGACUUUAAAUCCCGUAGAUUUACACGUUUUUUCUCAUAAAUUUACGACUUUAAAAGUUGUACAUUUAACCUAUGACUUUUAAAGUCAUAAAUAUACGACUUUAUUCUCAUAAUUUAGCGGUUACGACUUUU
ensembl:lncRNA